CAGAGGGGGCAAGCGUUGUUCAGAAUUACUGGGCGUAAAGGGCGCGUAGGCGGCCUGCUAAGUCGAACGUGAAAUCCCUGGGCUCAACCCAGGAACUGCGUCCGAGACUGGUUGGCUUGAAUCCGGGAGAGGGAUGUGGAAUUCCAGGUGUAGCGGUGAAAUGCGUAGAUAUCUGGAGGAACACCGGUGGCGAAGGCGACAUCCUGGACCGGUAUUGACGCUGAGGCGCGAAAGCCAGGGGAGCAAACGGGAUUAGAUACCCCGGUAGUCCUGGCCCUAAACGAUGAAUGCUUGGUGUGGUGGGUAUCGAUCCCUACCGUGCCGAAGCUAACGCAUUAAGCAUUCCGCCUGGGGAGUACGGUCGCAAGGCUG
rnacentral:rRNA from 1 species